rnacentral:rRNA from 1 species
UACGAAGGGUCCAAGCGUUGUUCGGAAUCAUUGGGCGUAAAGCGAGUGCGGGUGGCUCUUUAAGUCAGGAGUGAAAGCCCAGGGCUCAACCCUGGAAGUGCUUUUGAUACUGGAGAGCUUGAAUGUGGCAGAGGGUGCUAGAAUACCUAAAUGUAGUGGUAGAAAUAACGUAGAUAUUAGGUUGGAACACCGGUGGCGAAGGCGGGCACCUGGGCCAACACUGACGCUGAUGAGCGAAAGCCAGGGGAGCAAACGGG